rnacentral:rRNA from 1 species
AUUGAACGCUGGCGGCAGGCCUAACACAUGCAAGUCGAGCGAGCGGCGGACGGGUGAGUAAUGUCUGGGAAACUGCCUGAUGGAGGGGGAUAACUACUGGAAACGGUAGCUAAUACCGCAUACCAUCAGAUGUGCCCAGAUGGGAUUAGCUAGUAGGUGGGGUAACGGCUCACCUAGGCGACGCUCCCUAGCGGGUCUGAGAGGAUGACCAGCCACACUGGAACGGAGACCGGGCCCAGACUCCUACGGGGGGCAGCAGGGGGGAAUAUUGCACAAUGGGCGAAAGCCUGAUGCAGCCAUGCCGCGUGUGUGAAGAAGGCCUUCGGGUUGUAAAGCACUUUCAGCGGGGAGGCGUUACCCGCAGAAGAAGCACCGGCUAACUCCGUGCCAGCAGCCGCGGAAAUA